rnacentral:rRNA from 1 species
UACGGAGGAUCCAAGCGUUUAUCCGGAAUCAUUGGGUUUAAAGGGUCCGUAGGCGGUUUGGUAAGUCAGUGGUGAAAGCCCAUCGCUCAACGGUGGAACGGCCAUUGAUACUGCCAGACUUGAAUUAUUAGGAAGUAACUAGAAUAUGUAGUGUAGCGGUGAAAUGCUUAGAGAUUGCAUGGAAUACCAAUUGCGAAGGCAGGUUACUACUAAUGGAUUGACGCUGAUGGACGAAAGCGUGGGUAGCGAACAGG